GUCACGCAGUGAAUUUGGUUUAUUCAGAAAUAAAAGUGCUACAGCCGGGAACCACACCCUGUCCUGGCCUCCUCCGUCUGGCGCAGAUGCUGGGGUCUGCAUCUGUUUCCCCCAUUGGAAACCUCGUGGGACCCUCACCCAGUGGCCGGGAAUCGAACUGGCGCUGCAGAGGCUGCGGGCAGCUUCACAACCCAGUACUCAACUGCUGCGCCACCAGCUUACCACUGGCUGUUUGAGGAGCCAUCUGCCGGUUUCAAGCAGGCUUUACUGAAGAAAGGUCCCUGUUCUAAAAAGCACUGGGUACAGUCAGACGUGCAUGAGGGUGAGAGAACUCACCAGAGCCAGAGCAGGGAACAGAGCAGGAAGACUGAUGAAGUACACUGCUGAGGGGAGCAGCGGCUGGCAGGAGAGGUUUGCGCACCAUGAGAAACCCUUGUCAGUGGCCGGGGAUUGAACUGGCACUGUGAAGGCUGCAGGCAUCUUCGCAGCCCAGCGCUCAACUGCUGCGCCACCGGGGAGGCCCUGUGUGUUGAUUUUUUACACUUUUAACUACACUGAAGUGGCUUAUUAUUUUAAUUUGUUUUUCAGUGGAAUCUUUUGUUUUCCUAGUGUAUAUUACAUUGUCCACAGCAGAUUUAAUUGUGCUGAAAUGUUUAAAUCCAUACAAGUGAGAGACAGUAAAUGUUUUAUUAGUUUAAACAUUUUAAUUAUGUUAUACAAAACUGACAAAUUGUAGGCAAUGAAUAUUCUUAGUCUAUGUUUAUAAUAGUCUGAUUAAGCUUCUUCAUUCAAUACGUGUAUUGAAUUCUCAUUAUACCCCAUAACCUUCUCUAGAUAUCCCAUAAAUUUAUUGACCUGUAAACUAUGACAGUAGCUAGAAUUAAUAAUAAGAAUGUUAUCUAUCAUCAGAAAAAAUAAAAAUGCCAAUGAUUUAAAAGAACAGCAGAAAUUUGUCAACCCAAAAGUUCAAAGAUGGAGAUGUUGCCAUCUUCUAACCAUUCCUGGCUGCCUCCAAACUUACAUUGUGCCUACACGGUCCUCACCUGGGCUGAAGGCAACGUCAGCCUGAUUA